CAACUGGAGAUAACUUUCUAGCACCUCACCAUGGGGAAGGAUGUAUUCAUAUGCCUUCACCAGCACAUGCAUUAAACAUGCAGAGAGUUACACAAGUUCUUACCACCUUGGGGCACCAUUCAGGUAAAAUCUCAGCUCAUCUUACUUGCUUAUUUGUAUACACUAACACCUGUGCAUGCUUUUGUCCACGUUGUUCCUUUGACGAUGAAUAAAUACCCCUUUUCUUUCUUUCUACAUUAAGGGUGCCUUUUCAUCUGAUUAAAUUUAUAAUGAACAGGGACAUUGCGGUUGUCCCAAGUGGAUGGUAUGAUGAUAGGAUGGUUUUCUGGCCCAGCUAUAAAAACACCGACAGAAUUGAAAGGGCCGCUUUAAAUGAGGAGCAGCAUGAGCCAAACUGGCCAAGAUUUGACGUUUCUGUUGUCCGAA